CCUGGUAGUCCACGCCGUAAACGAUGUCGACUUGGAGGUUGUGCCCUUGAGGCGUGGCUUCCGGAGCUAACGCGUUAAGUCGACCGCCUGGGGAGUACGGCCGCAAGGUUAAAACUCAAAUGAAUUGACGGGGGCCCGCACAAGCGGUGGAGCAUGUGGUUUAAUUCGAUGCAACGCGAAGAACCUUACCUGGUCUUGACAUCCACGGAAGUUUUCAGAGAUGAGAAUGUGCCUUCGGGAACCGUGAGACAGGUGCUGCAUGGCUGUCGUCAGCUCGUGUUGUGAAAUGUUGGGUUAAGUCCCGCAACGAGCGCAACCCUUAUCCUUUGUUGCCAGCGAUUCGGUCGGGAACUCAAAGGAGACUGCCAGUGAUAAACUGGAGGAAGGUGGGGAUGACGUCAAGUCAUCAUGGCCCUUACGACCAGGGCUACACACGUGCUACAAUGGCGCAUACAAAGAGAAGCGACCUCGCGAGAGCAAGCGGACCUCAUAAAGUGCGUCGUAGUCCGGAUUGGAGUCUGCAACUCGACUCCAUGAAGUCGGAAUCGCUAGUAAUCGUGGAUCAGAAUGCCACGGUGAAUACGUUCCCGGGCCUUGUACACACCGCCCGUCACACCAUGGGAGUGGGUUGCAAAAGAAGUAGGUAGCUUAACCUUCGGGAGGGCGCUUACCACUUUGUGAUUCAUGACUGGGGUGAAGUCGUAACAAGGUAACCGUAGGGGAACCUGCGGUUG
rnacentral:rRNA from 1 species